AAUCACUAACCAUACUGCCAAC
rnacentral:miRNA from 8 species